rnacentral:rRNA from 1 species
AGAGUUUGAUCAUGGCUCAGAUUGAACGCUGGCGGUAUGCUUAACACAUGCAAGUCGAACGGUAACAGUCCCUCACCUAGAAAUUUCUUAAAAAGAGAUUUGUAGGUGAGGGAGCUGACGAGUGGCGGACGGGUGCGUAAUGUAUAGGAAUCUCCCUAGUAGUGGGGGACAACUCGGAGAAAUUCGAGCUAAUACCGCAUAAGCCCUCCGGGGGAAAACGGGGGAUCUUCGGACCUCGUGCUAUUAGAUGAGCCUAUAUUAGAUUAGCUUGUUGGUGAGGUAAUGGCUCACCAAGGCGACGAUCUAUAGCUGGUCUGAGAGGAUGAUCAGCCACACUGGGACUGAGACACGGCCCAGACUCCUACGGGAGGCAGCAGUGGGGAAUAUUGGACAAUGGGCGAAAGCCUGAUCCAGCAAUACCGCGUGUGUGAAGAAGGCCUGAGGGUUGUAAAGCACUUUCAAUUGGGAGGAAUACCUAAUAGUUAAUACGCUAUUAGAUUGAC